UACGUAGGGUCCAAGCGUUAUCCGGAAUCACUGGGCGUAAAGCGUGCGUAGGCGGCGUGUUAAGUGUGAUGUUAAAAUCGUGUGGCUCAACCAUAUCGAUGCAUCGCAUACUGGCAUGCUAGAGGAAGGCAGAGGCAAGUGGAAUUGGUAGUGUAGCAGUGAAAUGCGUAGAGAUUACCAGGAACACCAAUGGCGAAGGCAGCUUGCUGGGCCUUUUUCUGACGCUGAGGUACGAAAAGCGUGGGGGAGCGAACAGG
rnacentral:rRNA from 1 species